AGCUCCAAUAGCGUAUAUUAAAGUUGUUGCAGUUAAAAAGCUCGUAGUUGGAUUUCUGGGUGGAGCGGGAUGUCCGGCACUUGUUGUCGGUUCGUUCCCGUCUCCGCCCCUUUUUGGGUGAAACCUGUGUGCCAUUAGUUUGGUGUGCAGGGGCUGCCCAUCGUUUACUGUGAAAAAAUUAGAGUGUUCAAAGCAGGCUUAUGCCGUUGAAUAUAUUAGCAUGGAAUAAUAGGAUAGGACCUUGGUACUAUUUUGUUGGUUUGCGCACCGAGGUAAUGAUUAAGAGGGACAGUUGGGGGUAUUCGUAUUCAAUUGUCAGAGGUGAAAUUCUUGGAUUUCUGGAAGACGAACUACUGCGAAAGCAUUUACCAAGGAUGUUUUCA
rnacentral:rRNA from 1 species